UAUUAAAAAAUUCAUUCCUUUAUACUAUUAAAAGCGGACAUGAUUGAUAGAAUAACCAGAUAGUGACACUUGGUGUGCCACGUAUACCUCAUGCUGAGGUAUAAGGACCAGCUCUUAAUAGUAGAAAUAGAUGUAACUUUUAAUA
rnacentral:pre_miRNA from 1 species